ACAUGAUGGCACCAAGAGGGAGUUUAAAUCCCCGGAGGACGCCAGAGCCUUCAUCAAGACACUGAUCAAGGCUGGAAGGUACUGGAACUCUCAUGAAGAACAGAAUUCCAAAGGACUGCAACAUUAUAUGAGAUCAGGGCUUCAAAAAGAAAGGAAGAGGGGGCAUCUUAGAUGGUGGUCAGAUGAAGUCCUGAACUCGCUGUCAUUAAGUGGUUUGACAACAACCCAGUGGUCAUGCCAUCAUCUUCCUAUGGCACUGAGCCCCAGGACACAUGAAGUAGAUGGUCUAAGAAAGAGAAAAGCCCGUGACCUGGAAAAUGAUCGAUGUGAAACAUCUUGAAGGACAUAUUAAUCCUCUAAUUGCACCGUGAGGAGGCAAGGAGUGAGGAACCAUCCAGAGGAGCUAGGAGCAAGGAUACACAGGUGUAUGCCUUUGCGGAAAUGAUUCUUGUCAAAAAACCUGAUGCACAUACAGUAUCUCACAAAAGUGAUUACACCCCUCACAUUUUUGUAAAUAUCUCACUUUUGUGAGAUACUGUAUAAAUUCCCCUCUGGCAGAUCUUGUGGGAUCUGCCAUAAUCUCAAACAAAAAGUCCUUUGAUGUAAUAGAAUUUUCUGUGAAAUAUUAUUAAAUAAUAUGCUUACAUUCAGUAUUGUCAUUAAUUGAUCCUUGCAUGUUUGGAUAUGCAAAGCUGCACAAAAGAUGUGAUACUUUCUAUAUUGCUUAUUAAUUCAUUGUUGAAUAAACCAGACAUUUCACAUACUAUCAGUGCAUGUUGCUUUAAUAAAAAUGUUGUUAUUAACCAAGCUCCAACAACAUAAUGGCAGAUCCCUGAAGCACAAUGAAGUAAUCCAGCUGAACACACUCAUCAUUAAUUGACGUGGCUUUGAAGUGACACUUGAGAGAACGAGGAUAUUCUAUUUGACUUGCUUCGACUCCUCUCUCCUCGCAUCUCAUUCUUGCAUCCUUCCCUUACAUCCUAAGGGGGUGGAACUAAGAAGCGAGCAAAGGAAAUAAGGAUGCACAAAUAAGAAAUGAGAAGCAUCCCUUGUUUUUCAGCACCUAAUUGUCAAGCUUUUGAUGUUGUCGUGUUCAUGUGUUAUCGUGUGUGCUACAGCUGCUCUCAUAGUCUGCAUGUUUUUGCCUUGUGUCAGUUUUACAAUUAUGGUUCUUGUUUUCACAGUUUUGAUUUUGUUUUGCACUUUAUUCAAUAGAAAUCGGUGCUUACAUCCGCCGCCUUCAACAAUCCGUGACACUAUGUUGCAGAGUUUUUCGCUGCUUCAAUAAAAAUGCUAAAAAAUAACAAUGCUUCUGGUGCCUUAAUUUAAGACAAAGUCACUUAUUUUUAUUAUUCUGUUUGAAGAAAUUGUGUUUUAUUGUAAGCCCCCCCCCCAUUAAGGAAUAAGUUCUUAAAGUCAGCUCAAUCAAGAGACCAAAAUACUCAUUAAGUCUAUCUUGAAUAACUGAGUUUUCAUUGCUUGUAAUAUGCACAACUUGCUUAAAGUUUGGCAGUUUUGUCUAGUUUUAAGAUCCAAUAGCAUUUUUAGUGACUAGAUAUUUAUGCUAUUUUGAGAAUUAUUACCAAGUCAGUUUUGCUUGCUCCAUUGGCAGAUUUUUUUCUCUCUUGGUUCUAGUACACUUUAACUAGAUUUAAGUGUGUCUUGCUUGUUUCAAGAAACCCAUUUUUUGCAGUGCAGCUGAAGUGACUUUUGGGUGUUAAAUCUCACACUUAUACACUUAUAUACAUAAAUCACUUACAUACUUAAAUACACUUAUAUUUAUGUUCCAUAGAAAUGAAAACAUU